AUUGAACGCUGGCGGCAUGCUUUACACAUGCAAGUCGAACGGCAGCGCGGGCUUCGGCCUGGCGGCGAGUGGCGAACGGGUGAGUAAUGCAUCGGAACGUGCCCAGUAGUGGGGGAUAGCCCGGCGAAAGCCGGAUUAAUACCGCAUACGACCUGAGGGUGAAAGCGGGGGACCGAAAGGCCUCGCGCUAUUGGAGCGGCCGAUGUCGGAUUAGCUAGUUGGUGGGGUAAAGGCUUACCAAGGCGACGAUCCGUAGCUGGUCUGAGAGGACGACCAGCCACACUGGGACUGAGCCAGGGCCCAGACUCCUACGGGAGGCAGCAGUGGGGAAUUUUGGACAAUGGGGGCAACCCUGAUCCAGCCAUGCCGCGUGCGGGAAGAAGGCCUUCGGGUUGUAAACCGCUUUUGUUCGGGAAGAAAUACUCUGGGCUAAUACCCCGGGGGGAUGACGGUACCGGAAGAAUAAGCACCGGCUAACUACGUG
rnacentral:rRNA from 1 species